AUGUUUGCUGGGAAACCACCACUUAAUCCUCAUUCCUGUUCUUUGUGCGUGUUUGUCACCGCAUUAGACUUUUGCUCUUCCUUUGUAUCUACUGCAUGAUUUCAGGGCUUUUAUUUGCUUAUCCUGCCUUCCUCUCCAAGACUGAUGAGGAUGGCUAUCUGUUGAGAAUGAAAAUGGUGCAAGAGCAAGCAGAGGACAGGGCUGAAGUGGGAAGCCUGCUCCAGAGGCAAGGUACUGGUGAGCUUUCCUUGCAUGCUUAAAAUCUAGACAAACACCAGCUUAGGGGAAAAAUAUAAACUUUGCACCUGGGAAGAACAUCUGUGAUGAUGGUUCUCACUUGUUUUUCUGUUGGUGAUGUGGAUCAGUAUCAUCUGGACAUGCCCUUAGUUAUGAGCUGAAUUGUUGUCCCUGUCUUCUGCCUGCGGAGCGGAACUGUUUAUUCCCCCGAGGACAGAAAUAAUCCUUCUGUCCUUUAGCAUUGCAGUGCAGUUCAAUGACACAGUUAAUCACGAGUACCUGUUUUCAUGUGGCUAAGCAUUUCAUUGGUUUGAAUGUACCUGAAAAGGUAACAUAAGUAAUAAAAGAGAGAAAUGCAAUAGCCUGUGUUAUUCA
rnacentral:lncRNA from 1 species